GACUCGUCACACUAUCAUUAACUGAAUCCAUAGGUUAAUGAGGCGAACCGGGGGAACUGAAACAUCUAAGUACCCCGAGGAAAAGAAAUCAACCGAGAUUCCCCCAGUAGCGGCGAGCGAACGGGGAGGAGCCCAGAGCCUGAAUCAGCAUGUGUGUUAGUGGAAGCGUCUGGAAAGGCGCGCGAUACAGGGUGACAGCCCCGUACACAAAAGCGCAUGUGCUGUGAGCUCGAUGAGUAGGGCGGGACACGUGGUAUCCUGUCUGAAUAUGGGGGGACCAUCCUCCAAGGCUAAAUACUCCUGACUGACCGAUAGUGAACCAGUACCGUGAGGGAAAGGCGAAAAGAACCCCGGCGAGGGGAGUGAAAAAGAACCUGAAACCGUGUACGUACAAGCAGUGGGAGCACCCUUUUGGGUGUGACUGCGUACCUUUUGUAUAAUGGGUCAGCGACUUAUAUUCUGUAGCAAGGUUAACCGAAUAGGGGAGCCGGAGGGAAACCGAGUCUUAAUUGGGCGUUAAGUUGCAGGGUAUAGACCCGAAACCCGGUGAUCUAGCCAUGGGCAGGUUGAAGGUUGGGUAACACUAACUGGAGGACCGAACCGACUAAUGUUGAAAAAUUAGCGGAUGACCUGUGGCUGGGGGUGAAAGGCCAAUCAAACCGGGAGAUAGCUGGUUCUCCCCGAAAGCUAUUUAGGUAGCGCCUCGUGAAUUCAUCUCCGGGGGUAGAGCACUGUUUCGGCUAGGGGGCCAUCCCGGCUUACCAACCCGAUGCAAACUGCGAAUACCGGAGAAUGUUAUCACGGGAGACACACGGCGGGUGCUAACGUCCGUCGUGAAGAGGGAAACAACCCAGACCGCCAGCUAAGGUCCCAAAGUCAUGGUUAAGUGGGAAACGAUGUGGGAAGGCCCAGACAGCCAGGAUGUUGGCUUAGAAGCAGCCAUCAUUUAAAGAAAGCGUAAUAGCUCACUGGUCGAGUCGGCCUGCGCGGAAGAUGUAACGGGGCUAAACCAUGCACCGAAGCUGCGGCAGCGACGCUGAUGCGUUGUUGGGUAGGGGAGCGUUCUGUAAGCCUGCGAAGGUGGCCUGUGAGGGUUGCUGGAGGUAUCAGAAGUGCGAAUGCUGACAUAAGUAACGAUAAAGCGGGUGAAAAGCCCGCUCGCCGGAAGACCAAGGGUUCCUGUCCAACGUUAAUCGGGGCAGGGUGAGUCGACCCCUAAGGCGAGGCCGAAAGGCGUAGUCGAUGGGAAACGGGUUAAUAUUCCCGUACUUGGUGUUACUGCGAAGGGGGGACGGAGAAGGCUAUGUUGGCCGGGCGACGGUUGUCCCGGUUUAAGCGUGUAGGUGUGUGUUCCAGGUAAAUCCGGUUCACUUUAACACUGAGGCGUGACGACGAGGCACUACGGUGCUGAAGCAACAAAUGCCCUGCUUCCAGGAAAAGCCUCUAAGCAUCAGGUAACAUCAAAUCGUACCCCAAACCGACACAGGUGGUCAGGUAGAGAAUACCAAGGCGCUUGAGAGAACUCGGGUGAAGGAACUAGGCAAAAUGGUGCCGUAACUUCGGGAGAAGGCACGCUGACACGUAGGUGAAGUGAUUUACUCACGGAGCUGAAGUCAGUCGAAGAUACCAGCUGGCUGCAACUGUUUAUUAAAAACACAGCACUGUGCAAACACGAAAGUGGACGUAUACGGUGUGACGCCUGCCCGGUGCCGGAAGGUUAAUUGAUGGGGUCAGCGCAAGCGAAGCUCCUGAUCGAAGCCCCGGUAAACGGCGGCCGUAACUAUAACGGUCCUAAGGUAGCGAAAUUCCUUGUCGGGUAAGUUCCGACCUGCACGAAUGGCGUAAUGAUGGCCAGGCUGUCUCCACCCGAGACUCAGUGAAAUUGAACUCGCUGUGAAGAUGCAGUGUACCCGCGGCAAGACGGAAAGACCCCGUGAACCUUUACUAUAGCUUGACACUGAACAUUGAGCCUUGAUGUGUAGGAUAGGUGGGAGGCUUUGAAGCGUGGACGCCAGUCUGCGUGGAGCCGACCUUGAAAUACCACCCUUUAAUGUUUGAUGUUCUAACGUGGACCCGUUACCCGGGUUGCGGACAGUGUCUGGUGGGUAGUUUGACUGGGGCGGUCUCCUCCUAAAGAGUAACGGAGGAGCACGAAGGUUGGCUAAUCCUGGUCGGACAUCAGGAGGUUAGUGCAAUGGCAUAAGCCAGCUUGACUGCGAGCGUGACGGCGCGAGCAGGUGCGAAAGCAGGUCAUAGUGAUCCGGUGGUUCUGAAUGGAAGGGCCAUCGCUCAACGGAUAAAAGGUACUCCGGGGAUAACAGGCUGAUACCGCCCAAGAGUUCAUAUCGACGGCGGUGUUUGGCACCUCGAUGUCGGCUCAUCACAUCCUGGGGCUGAAGUAGGUCCCAAGGGUAUGGCUGUUCGCCAUUUAAAGUGGUACGCGAGCUGGGUUUAGAACGUCGUGAGACAGUUCGGUCCCUAUCUGCCGUGGGCGCUGGAGAACUGAGGGGGGCUGCUCCUAGUACGAGAGGACCGGAGUGGACGCAUCACUGGUGUUCGGGUUGUCAUGCCAAUGGCACUGCCCGGUAGCUAAAUGCGGAAGAGAUAAGUGCUGAAAGCAUCUAAGCACGAAACUUGCCCCGAGAUGAGUUCUCCCUGAGACUUAGAGUCUCCUGAAGGAACGUUGAAGACGACGACGUUGAUAGGCCGGGUGUGUAAGCGCAGCGAUGCGUUGAGCUAACCGGUACUAAUGAACCGUGAGGCUUAACCUUACAACGCCGAAG
rnacentral:rRNA from 1 species